rnacentral:rRNA from 1 species
GACGAACGCUGGCGGCGUGCUUAACACAUGCAAGUCGAACGGAAAGGCCUCUUUCGGGGGGUACUCGAGUGGCGAACGGGUGAGUAACACGUGAGUAACCUGCCCUUGACUUUGGGAUAACUUCAGGAAACUGGGGCUAAUACCGGAUAGGAGCUCCUGCUGCAUGGUGGGGGUUGGAAAGUUUCGGCGGUUGGGGAUGGACUCGCGGCUUAUCAGCUUGUUGGUGGGGUAGUGGCUUACCAAGGCUUUGACGGGUAGCCGGCCUGAGAGGGUGACCGGCCACAUUGGGACUGAGAUACGGCCCAGACCUCCACGGGGGGCAGCAGGGGGGAAUAUUGCACAAUGGGUGGGAGCCUGAUGCAGCAACGCCGUGUGCGGGAUGACGGCCUUCGGGUUGGAAACCGCUUUCGCUCAUGACGAAGCUUUGUGUGACGGUAGUGGGUAAAGAAGCACCGGCUAACUACGUG